rnacentral:rRNA from 1 species
UACGAAGGGGGCUAGCGUUGCUCGGAAUGACUGGGCGUAAAGGGCGCGUAGGCGGAUGGUACAGUCAGAUGUGAAAUUCCUGGGCUUAACCUGGGGGCUGCAUUUGAUACGUGUUGUCUAGAGUGAGGAAGAGGGUCGUGGAAUUCCCAGUGUAGAGGUGAAAUUCGUAGAUAUCGGGAAGAACACCGGUGGCGAAGGCGGCGACCUGGUCCUUUACUGACGCUGAGGCGCGAAAGCGUGGGGAGCAAACAGG